AUUACUUCUGCUGCUUGUGGAGCUGUGAUAAUUAUGCUGUGUUUUUGCGCCACUGUAAAUUUGCCCAGGGUUUUACUGAGACAGAUUAGAUGUCUUGCCUGCGCUGUGGGAGCAGUGUACCGCAGAAGGGCUGUAUUUCCAGAAGGUUAUUUGGCAAGAAGACUAGAGGGAAGAGCGAGUGAAAAAACCACCAUGUGCGCUACUGAACUCUUCAGGGUCUCUGGGAGCUUUCUAAGGCUCCACCUGGAAAUGAAGAGUCUUCACGCUACAGUUUGGAUGAACGCACAUGUCCAGCCUGCCAUUCCUCGGCCUUCCAGAGCUCCAGGAGGAGCAAUAAAAAGGGAGAGUAAGUACAAAACAGAGCAAAGACUGAAGAUGAGGGAAGAAACUGGUGUGUCCUACUCCAAAGUCACCAUUUGAACAUUAUGUGCAGGAGAGAGACCCUGGAAAUGUCUCUCCUUAUCUCUGCCUGGUGCCUGUGUCCCAGAUCAAUGUAAAGCACUCUCCUCUCCAUGGAGGAUGAGUAUUUGUCACCUACAGCCUCACAUGGCUUUUCCCCAGAUGGGGAACCUGGGGGAACCAUAUACAAGUAUCUCUUAAUUGCUUGAAUUUCUAUUUAGCAGGAAUGAAAAUUUUAGGUGCCAGUGACUUCCCACUUGCAAUAACCUUUUUCUGGUGGCUUUUUAUGUCUUGUUGUAAGGGACCCUCUCUCCUUGAGAACAACCUCACGUUGUGGGAGAGAUUUCCUCUUCGGUUCUCACUGCAUGGAGCUGAGCUACCCUGGCAGAAAUUCACCCCUUCACCACCAAGAGGGGACUUGCAGGGCCACGGGCCCUUCCCAAAGGUCACAGCUUUUCUCAGACACCCAAGGGCUGCGAUAAUGGGAAAAACCCUUGGUAAAGGGUUUUCACAGCCUCAGCUGGGGUGAAUCACAGAUUGGUGGUUUGGGGGCAUGUGUUUACUGCAAUGUAUGAUAGGUUUUGCAGCUGAUGUUAGCUGCUUUUUUCCCUGAAAUCCCUACAACAGGUCACUAAGGUGUGCAGUCAGCCUCACCGCAGACCUCGGGGAAGCUGAUGUGUCGUCCAUACGGCAGCAACAGGCAGAAGUGAAACAGGAAUGCGCAACUGUAGAAGCACAGUCAUGAGCUGGGGGUGUGUGUGUCUUUCUACCUCCAGCCAGCCAAGCACGACUUUUCAUUUGACAGUGGUAAUUUCUGGUCUACUGGAAAAAAGUAGCGCUUUAUGGUUAAUACUGGCCGAAACCAAAGAAAAAGACAGGCUAAUUGAAUUAACUCGAGGAGAGGUGCUUGCCAGCCUAUGGUGCCAACCAGCCAGACUAGAGCUGUGUCCCCGCAGAAACUUUCUCUUGAGUCCUCCGGCCACAGUUUUGUAGGUCAUAAAGAUGCAGUGGUAUAGAGUGGUUGCAGUUCCCUACAGCACUGCUGUCCCACACCACAUUAAAACGUGUUGCUUUUAGCUCUUUGAGUCAUCGGACUAGGUCAUCAGUCCAGCUGGGGGAAGAAGAUGUUACUGGCUUGCCAUUUUUUAAAAUAGGUCUCCCUACCAAAUGCUUUCUUCUUAUUCUUAAAAUGAGUUUCCAUGGUAACGCUGUCACUGGCACGCUCAUUCUGGCAAUAAAAAAGGAUGAAAAUAAUUCCCUUUUCAGCAAUCCUAUGCUUGGCCUAGUAGAAGCCCCUUUUUAUUUGAGCCUUAUUUACCUCUAGGGAAUCUUGUCUCCUUUCACCUCUGCCAAAGGUAUCCUGGGUCCCACCUCCAUUCCCACUUCCUUCCACAUACUGAACUCAAAUUGGUGCCUUCUGCUGCAAGGGUAAAAAUCUGGGACAUUUGUGCAGCAGAAUUCCCUUGUGUGUUACUUCCAUUUUACCUUCUGGCUGAGUCUUCUUAACAUUGCAUCUAAUUCUUAUCAAAAUGUAACUUUGCUGGAAUUAUUAAUGGCUGUAAAAGCUCUGUUACAGGUCUGGGAGGUUACUGCUUUCAAUGUGAUAUUUAUCACUAUUUAUCACUUUAUUGUGCAAGAUGAUGCAGAAUAUUGUACUUCUGGCCAUCACGCUCAUUAGUUUCUGAUGUCCUGUUGUGAUAGUCCAGAGCACGUUUUAGCAGGACCACAUGAUGCCGAAGAGAGCCCCGUAAUCUGCUGUUUGCUGGGGAAUUUCUCUCGAGGAAAAUUUGCAAUUGCUCAAGGAUUAGUCAUGCAAAGAGUCUCCAAAACCAGCCUUACAUGCUAUGUGGUUUUUUUUGUAGCGUCUUGCUGCAGAAACAGCUGUUGUGUGUUGAAAUGAGAUGCAAGAUGCAGUUUUAGCCAGCUAGAGAGAAGGCAUCCUCUCUGCAAUGUUACAGGUCUUCCAGACUGAAGGUUUCUUGCAGCUCAUCCGACGGAAGGGCCACCCUGAAGUGCAGUCAGGCUUUUAAAUAGAAGAAUCUAAACACGUGGACCAUACAAGCCUCAUAUUGUUUAAUUAAAACAGUCUGUAGUGCUAUUUUUGUAACUAAAAUUAGAGUUUAAUUUGACUAGCUUCCCUUUUGAUAUCUUAGUCCAGACUGGCCUCAGAAAAGGUCAUGGUUGCUCCCUUGCCGCCCAUUUCCAUUCUAGUCUCCUGGUGAUCCUACAUUUUCAUGAAUACCAUAAAAAAGUAAAAUUAGUAUAUAAAAUAUAUACAUUAUAUAAUAUACAUAAUAGAUAAUAUAUAUUAUAUAAUAAAUAUAAAAUAAAAAUAAAAAGUAUUGCAACUUUUUUCCUUUGUUUAAAUUAAUUCUUCUCUACUCCUACCUCCAUUUUACCCAUGAACUAAGGAAAAGAUCUUAUUCCACAGCACAAUUUCUCAGACAGCAGCUUUACUGGAGUGCCUUAAACACAAUAAAAACUCUUUUCCUCCCCAGUUCUUCAGCAGCUUAUUAAGUGAUUUUCAGUGCUUGCCUCGACAUCCCAGGGGUAUCAGAGCACAGUUGUGCUAACUGCCGUAUGAUGCACUUGCGAAUCUCUGUCUCCUCUUUUCAGAGC